CAGGAAAUGACUCAGCAGUACACGCGUCUACUCUGAGAGCCCCUGCCUGCAUCUCACAGAGAAAAUCAGGAACUCCAGCUGGCCUCACUGGCCAGCACAGAUUCUUCCGGAGACACCAAGCAGAGAGCGGCGGCAUGUGGCUGUCCAGGCAGAGCCCCGCGGCAGGCAGUGAGGCACUAGGACACUGGGACCCACGGCUACCAGAAUCACUCAGCCGGAGAAUCACAGGACAGCUGGCAUCCCUCCAUCACACAUGGAGGGCAGGGGCCGCUGAUUUCACCACUCAAAUCCACGUCCACAGUUUUUACGCAGAGAGACUCGUGUGAAAAUGGGAGCGUCUGCUGGCAGCCCGACCACCGCCUGCAGGCUGCAGACACUCCACGUGCAGAGCCCGGCCGGCCGGGCUGCCACCAGGUCAAGCGCCACUGAAGAUGGGGGGUGGGUACUACAGUGGUCUGUGCAGUGAUCAACACUGGCCCAUUCCAACACUAACCUGAUCUGAAGUCAGAUGCCCAGAUUAUCUCCACAUAACACACAGCUUCUCCCUCCCAAGGACGGGGUGUCUAAGCACGAACAUGAAGAACCAGGAAAAAGCCAGGUGUGACGCAACAAGGACUAGCACAAAAUAAGUAAUAACCGCAUUUACGCUUAAAAAUUCCACCCAGAGAGCAGCAGUGACGGGCUUCCUCAGGUCAGGGACCGCCCCCUCCUGUGAGAGAUGCGGAUGUGACAUUAGGAACCUGAGACUGGUCAGGGGCUGUCAGCCGCUGGGGCCUUAACACUUCCAGUUACCCAAUCUGCAAAAUCGACAGUCUACUGCCUAAACCUUAAUCAACGUGAAAUUCAAUCAUGUAACAUAAUACAACACUAUGUAAUGAUAAUAAUAAUUUAAAAGUA